rnacentral:rRNA from 1 species
GACGAACGCUGGCGGCGUGCCUAAUACAUGCAAGUAGAACGCUGAAGGAGGAGCUUGCUUCUCCGGAUGAGUUGCGAACGGGUGAGUAACGCGUAGGUAACCUGCCUGGUAGCGGGGGAUAACUAUUGGAAACGAUAGCUAAUACCGCAUAAGAGUAGAUGUUGCAUGACAUUUGCUUAAAAGGUGCAAUUGCAUCACUACCAGAUGGACCUGCGUUGUAUUAGCUAGUGGGUGAGGUAACGGCUCACCAAGGCGACGAUACAUAGCCGACCGGAGAGGGUGGUCGGCCACCCUGGGACUGAGACACGGCCCAGACUCCUACGGGAGGCAGCAGUAGGGAAUCUUCGGCAAUGGACGGAAGUCUGACCGAGCAACGCCGAGUGAGUGAAGAAGGUUUUCGGAUCGUAAAGCUCUGUUGUAAGAGAAGAACGAGUGUGAGAGUGGAAAGUUCACACUGUGACGGUAUCUUACCAGAAAGGGACGGCUAACUACGUG